GACGAACGCUGGCGGCGUGCCUAAUACAUGCAAGUUGAGCGCUGAAGGUUGGUACUUGUACCAACUGGAUGAGCAGCGAACGGGUGAGUAACGCGUGGGGAAUCUGCCUUUGAGCGGGGGACAACAUUUGGAAACGAAUGCUAAUACCGCAUAAAAACUUUAAACACAAGUUUUAAGUUUGAAAGAUGCAAUUGCAUCACUCAAAGAUGAUCCCGCGUUGUAUUAGCUAGUUGGUGAGGUAAAGGCUCACCAAGGCGAUGAUACAUAGCCGACCUGAGAGGGUGAUCGGCCACAUUGGGACUGAGACACGGCCCAAACUCCUACGGCAGGCAGCAGUAGGGAAUCUUCGGCAAUGGACGAAAGUCUGACCGGGCAACGCCGCGUGAGUGAAGAAGGUUUUCGGAUCGUAAAACUCUGUUGGUAGAGAAGAACGUUGGUGAGAGUGGAAAGCUCAUCAAGUGACGGUAACUACCCAGAAAGGGACGGCUAACUACGUG
rnacentral:rRNA from 1 species